rnacentral:lncRNA from 1 species
CUCAACAUGCAGAAGCAAUUCGCCUUUUUCCCUGGGAAACUUCGGGUCGUGUUCCGCAAGGGGCCUCUUGGGUUUCUCCUCCAGGAGCCAUCUGAUGAAGCCAAACGGGUGAGUUCCACUCCUCAGGACAAGUCUGCGGCCAUGAGGGAGGACCUCGUACGGCAGAACGCUUUGGCCGUCAUCCGACAAAGAGGGGGGGUCCCUCAGAUAAGAUGGAGGUGCUGGGAGACUAUGUCCUGCAGUUUGGUAAAUAUAAAGGGAAGUCAUUCUGAUGGCUUUUGCAGAAUGAUGUAGGAUCCACCGUGUAUCUGAUCAAGAACGUGCAGAGCGAGGAGGCAGCAGGUCUCUGUAUGGCUGACAGCCACAGUAAGGACAGCCUCCAGUCAUUUGUGAGUUAUGCCCUCAGUUUCCAAGAAAUCCAGGCUCUCCUCACUUAUGAGGCCGGAAGAGGGGAUGGAGUGACUGCCUCAUCUGAAGACGACCAGCUGGUUGGAUUUGGUGCCCGAGCCAAGAGCAGGUGGAAGGAGAUCUGGGACAGCAGAGGUGAUGGCUAUGCUGAUUUUGUCAUAGGCAGGCGCUGCGUUCCAGGGACACGAAUGUCCAGGUUGCAGCAGAACCUGCUGAAGAGGCAGCAGCCCACCACAUCUUCCACACCUGCUGAGCAUCCCAUGAAGGCCCCAGCUGAGCCCCUGGCCAUGGAGGAGGACGUGGAGAUGGAAAGGGAGAUGCUGAGCAUCCAUAACUCUGAUCUGCAAGUCCAGAGCUGUAAAUACACCGUUACCACAUUUAUUUCAUGUCAGACAAACAAAGUCCAUGCCGUAUCUGAUUUCUGUUGUUUUUCUUUUCAUCUGUGUGCAGAUGCUAUGCCAGUAGCAGCAGCCGCCCUGCCGAGAGUGCCACCAGGAGCAAAGACAGGUUUCUGAAAAAUAGGUUUCAGAGCUGGAGUUCCGUUCCUUUCCAUGAAGAAUUCCUCUCCAAAUCUGAAACUUAUCUUAUUAUUUUUGUGUUCUUGAUGUUCCGGCCGAGUUCCUUUAAUAUUACUCUUCAUAUGUUGGUGUGAUAAUAACCGUCGUGAGGACUAUGAAUUGAUCCGUGCAAUGAUGAACUGAUAUUGACUAUGAGGAGGAGGGUAAGUGUUUGUUUCUGUUCUCUUUGCUGCUUCGUUGAAAAACAGUUUCCUUUUCUUUUAUUUAGGGCUGAUGAACAACCUGAUGUCUCUGUAAUGUCCAGCUGACUGUUCUUUCCAUGUUGUCAUCAGGUGAAGUGACUGUAAUUUCUUAAUAGCAAGUCUGCACUUGUUUUCAGGACCUGACUCUUGCACGGCACAGACCUCUGACGGCAGAGUGCCUCCUUUGACGGACUCUACCCAAGACCAAAAGAGUGGGAUGUUAAACCAUGUCCAUUUCCCCCAUUCCGUGGGGUGUUGAACAAUAAUAAAGUGUCCCGGGGUGAUUCAAAUUGACACGAUUCUUUGUCACUGACAUGGAAAAAAUCUGACGUGUGAGCUCUGGAAUGAAACCAAGUGUCCGAGGCGCGUGUUUGUUUCCUUGUAUCGUGUGUUUAUAUCAUGUGAGGGCGGGGGCACUGAAAUUGUC